GAUGAACGCUAGCGGCAGGCCUAACACAUGCAAGUCGAGGGGUAGAGGAAGCUUGCUUCCUUGAGACCGGCGCACGGGUGCGUAACGCGUAUGCAAUCUACCUUUUACAGAGGGAUAGCCCAGAGAAAUUUGGAUUAAUACCUCAUAGUAUCCUUGCCUGGCAUCGGGUGAUUAUUAAAGUUCCAACGGUAAAAGAUGAGAAUGCGUCCUAUUAGCUAGAUGGUAAGGUAACGGCUUACCAUGGCAACGAUAGGUAGGGGUCCUGAGAGGGAGAUCCCCCACACUGGUACUGAGACACGGACCAGACUCCUACGGGAGGCAGCAGUGAGGAAUAUUGGACAAUGGGCGCAAGCCUGAUCCAGCCAUGCCGCGUGCAGGAAGACGGUCCUAUGGAUUGUAAACUGCUUUUGUACGGGAAGAAACACUCCUACGUGUAGGAGCUUGACGGUACCGUAAGAAUAAGGAUCGGCUAACUCCGUGCCAGCCGCCGCCGUAA
rnacentral:rRNA from 1 species